GGAUUAGUGGCGGACGGGUGAGUAACGCGUGAGUAACCUGCCUUGGAGAAGGGGAUAGCCUUUGGAAACGAAGAAUAAUACCCUAUGAUAUGAUAACAUCGCAUGAUAUUAUCAUCAAAGAUUUAUCGCUCUAAGAUGGACUUGCGUCUGAUUAGUUAGUUGGUGAGGUAACAGCUCACCAAGGCAGCGAUCAGUAGCCGGCUUGAGAGAGUGUACGGCCACAUUGGGACUGAGACACGGCCCAGACUCC
rnacentral:rRNA from 1 species